GUGGUGAUGUUUGGCCAUCUGCUGAUCGGAGCAAGAACUGCACGGCGUCCUUCUCAGAAGGGGGAAGUCGGGAUCUGCCGUACAGCAUCGUGACAGAUGGAAACUCAUCCCUUGAAAUUCAUAGACCAGAACAGCACCUGUGUACGUGCUGUGGGACAGCGGGGUUGAGAGGAAGAGGGAGCCUGCAGGCGUUGUCAUCCCUGCCAUCCCAAGGAGGACUGCGGCGGUGUUCCGGGCGGUGAGCAGCGAGGACUUGGAUUUAAACCCAUAGAAACGCAAUCCAGGUUUGCACGCAGUGCCUGGCAUGGCCAGGGCCAACUCACCAGGACACCUCAGGCUCAAGAAGAAAAGUUCCUUCAGAGCAGGAGCAGCACUUGCAGCCUUGUGCUAAUACAAAACAAGUGAUUUUUUUUUUUUUUUGUGCAGAAACCAAAAAGAACUCCAGACAAAUAAAAGGGAUUACU
rnacentral:lncRNA from 7 species